UACGUAGGGCCUAGCGUUGUCCGGAUUUAUUGGCGUAAAGAGCUCGUAGGCGGUUCGGCAAGUCGGAUGUGAAUCUCCACGCUCAACGUGGAGCCAUUCGAACUGCCGUGACUCGAGUCCGGUAGGAGUGUGGAAUUCGGUGUAGCGUGAAUGCGUAGAUAUGCGAGACACGAUGGCGAAGCAAUCUGCUGCACUGACGCUCAUGCACGAAGCGUGAGC
rnacentral:rRNA from 1 species